rnacentral:lncRNA from 1 species
GUCAAAAGAAACAGGGCAGGUCAACCUGUAUGUUGUCUCCUCAGGAGAGCAAAGACCAUUGCUCUGCAGUCAGCCUCCACAUAAUCCCUGAGGGUGGAUCCAUCUCUUCUGCCAUAGGCGUUCAAGAUUGCUGGACUGAAAAACAACAAUAAUAAAAAAUCCACACUUGAUCCAUAAGUCAAGGACCCUGGUCCUGUUCUAUUGUCAACUAAAUGGAGCAGAAAAUAUCAAUGGAGAAGCAAUGUCCAAUCUUCAAGGAACCCUUUGUUUCAUCAAUGUGGACUUGGUCUCUAGGUUUUAAUCCACAGCCUGUCACUCAUUUCCUCGACGACCUUGGAUAUUACACAAAAAUGCAAAUUGGAAAGAUUGGAGCCUCAGCAGUUAAAGAGUGCUUCUUCCUGUUGCAGAGAACCCAAGCUUGCUUUCCAGCUCCCAUUGGGCAGUUCACAAGCAGCUGGAACUCAAGUUCCAGGAAAUUGGAUGCUCUAUCUGGCCUCUGCAGGUGCCUAUACUCACAACUGAAUACCCACACAGAUAAAUGAAAAUAAAGCAAAGCUUGAAACAA